rnacentral:rRNA from 1 species
CCUACGGGAGGCUGCAGUGGGGAAUAUUGGACAAUGGGGGCAACCCUGAUCCAGCCAUGCCGCGUGUGUGAAGAAGGCCCUCGGGUUGUAAAGCACUUUCAGUGAGGAAGAACGCCUGGUGGUUAAUACCCAUCAGGAAAGACAUCACUCACAGAAGAAGCACUGGCUAACUCCGUGCCAGCAGCCGCGGUAAUACGGAGGGUGCGAGCGUUAAUCGGAAUUACUGGGCGUAAAGCGCGCGUAGGUGGCUUGAUAAGCCGGUUGUGAAAGCCCCGGGCUCAACCUGGGAACGGCAUCCGGAACUGUCAAGCUAGAGUGCAGGAGAGGAAGGUAGAAUUCCCGGUGUAGCGGUGAAAUGCGUAGAGAUCGGGAGGAAUACCAGUGGCGAAGGCGGCCUUCUGGACUGACACUGACACUGAGGUGCGAAAGCGUGGGUAGCAAACAGGAUUAGAUACCCCGGUAGUC